rnacentral:rRNA from 1 species
AUGAUGAGCAACUUCGAUCAAAGGGUGGCCAUCUACAAAGGAGCAGGCGCAGGAGACGGCUUCAAGUCUUCUGCCAACGUUGCCACCCGUGGCCGAGGCGGGGGCUCUCAUCAUCGCUGCCCUCCACGGAACAGCAAGGGCAAGGGCAGCGGCGGCAGCAAUUCUGCACGCAAUGGCGGCGGCGGCCGGCCCUCCUACACCAACAAUAGGGGCCGACGCAACAGCAGCUCCUCCAACAGCAUAUCUCGGCCCGACACGAUCAGAUGCCAAAUCUGUGGGAAGCGGGGACACUCUGCCAAGGACUGCUGGUAUCAUUUUGAUGAAGACGAUGAUGACUCCUCUCAAGAUGAAAAGAUGGCCGGAGCUGCUGAUGGUUCCUAUGGCGUCGACACCAACUGGUAUGUUGACAGCGGCGCCACAAACCACAUCACCAGCGAACUUGACAAGGUGACUGUGCGAGAGAAGUACCGUGGCAAAGAUCACAUCCACACCACCAGUGGAGAAGGCAACGAGGAAGGUGCUAUAUCGAGGUAG